AUAAUACCAAUUUUUUUCAAAAAAAUUACAAAUAAAUCCUAAAUAAAUUAAAUUAAAAAAUCAAAAUAAAAGGAAAAAGAAAAAAAAUGAAAAAUCUUCUUCUUCUCUCCCCAUCUCCUCUUUCACACUGUCCACAAAACGAAAUUAGAAAAUAGAAUUCUCAUCGGUGCUAAAACAAGGAAAACCAACAACCGUCGCCAUCACCAUUUCCUUCUCCAAAAUUCCUGUCAUUUUACUUCAACAAACAAGAAAAACAAAUGCACAGUUUGUGUCUGAAAAAUAUUGGAUUCUCACUUAAACCAGUAAUUUUAUUUAACGAUAAUCAUGCUAAGAAACAAGAAUCACAAAAUUAUAAAUUGAUAGUUCAAAUCCAUACCUGUUGAUGCUACAAAAAAUCUGCACCUGCUGAUUUUUCAAGCUUGAGAAAUGUGAAUGAGCACGGUUGUAAUCUUCUGGUACCUGAAACAAAGAUAACAAGGUAUGUUCUCGUCACCUCUUCGAUACUUAAAUCAGAAAGGAAAUUUAUGAGUGAAGCUAUAAACAGGAAAAUAAUGAAAAACGUACCUGGAUAAUGUCCCAAUGCUUUGUAUUUAUAGGGGUAGGUAGUACACUCCUAGUAGCAUUUGAACUGGGUGAACGUUCUUAUCCAAUAGAGUUUCGUCAGAUAGAGGAGUUGGAAUGUUGAAGAUGGAGUCUUCGUAGUAGUCAAGCGAUGGUGUAGUUGGAUAGGGUUAGAAUCCUAAGUGUAUAGAAAUUCUAUUGGAUCAAUAACAACUAUUGUGGCCCGUUAAGGAGUGUCCAUUCUCGAGGACAAUCCAUCCCGAGGAUGUAAAUCACAGAAUGUGGACACCAUAAGAUCGCUAAUCCUCGAGCACUCUAAUCGGGGGAGACCAAGUGCUCGAGCACAACAACGGUGAAAUUGCAAGGGGAGGUCAUUUCCAGUCCUCAGGAUAUAAUGUUCGAGCAUAACCAAAACCUGGUACAUCACCUGUGAAAGACAUUAUGGAUAUGAGUAUUAGCAUCCAGAUUUUUUCCUCUCUGCUCUUCACAAAGUAUUAGCCAUCAAUAUGACAAGCCAAUAAAACAAUAUGGAGAAGAGAUAAGAUUUAGCCUUUAUAUAGGAAUUUCUCGAGCCGUCCUAUUAACGACUUAAACCCUAAUUAGGGUUUACAUAUGUUUUCGACCCUCAUACUUAAAAUUAUCACAUUAUACAAAAUAUAACCCGUAAGUGGUAAAUCGACUCAAUUGAUCACUUAACAUAUUUGAGCUUAAUUACAGUACCAUUAUGAGUUAUACAUCUAACCUGUAAAAUUCAUAAUCAAAUGAAAAGCCCAUGUUUAGAAUUAUUCUAACAAUUUGUACACCUUGGAUUUAAUUUUUUCCCAUUGCCAACUGACUAUGCCAAUAUUGAUACACCCCGAGGAGUUUAUCCCGAGGACUCAAUAUAUACCCCACACUCAUUUUCUCUUCCAUGGUCCUCGGGGUCGCCCUAAGUCCUCGAAGUAUCGUAGUCCUCGAGAUAUCUCGAGGACACAUUUACAUUCUCUCAAUGUCCUCGAGUAUAGUCCUCGAGACAUACACCACCAACAUGCCUCCUAAGACCUGGGUCCCUAACUAACAAACCUAAACACUCAAGGAUUCUACAUCAACUCUAACACCACUUGUCAAACAAUUCUAUUACAAGUAGGACACCCUUUAUAAUAGAAAUUCCCUUGGAUAAAAACAUCCAACCAACACAAUCCCACUAGGAGUACACUACCUACUCCUAUAAAAGCAGAACCUUGGACCAUUAUUCAGGUACGUUUUACAUUGUUCUUUAGCACAUAGCCUCACACAUAUAUUUCCCUUUCUGACUUAAGCAUUGGAGGGGCGACGAGAACACACCUCGUUGCCUUUGUUUCAGGUAUCGGAAGAUCACGUUCGUACUCCUCAUCAGUCAUCAAGCUCGGGAAAUCUACAGGUACGAUUUUUGGUAGCAUCAUUGGCGCCGUCUGUGGGAAACGCUACCAAAAGCCAUGGUAAACACACGUUCAGGUCUUCCACCCGCAAGCUCAUCCGCUCCAAACCAACCUCCUCUCGAGGAUAUCCCUGUUCCUCAAGAGGAAUCAUCAGAAGUGCCGGAGCCCCAGUCGGCAGUCGUCACUACUAGAGCCUUUGAAGAACUCAGACAACAGGUCGCCGCACUGACUCAGCUGCUAAGUCAAAGAAAUUCGCAUCCGUCACAUACACCAGCACCCCAGGGGGGUUUUAUGGCUGAUGCUCGAGCUCGAGCUCAAACACAUGCCCCUGACAAUGGCGGAGCAGGGGCCUCGGGUAUACCACAUGUGACCUCGACCUCGAGAUCAGUGACCAUGGAGUCCGGGGAACUCGCUAGGAUUAUUCAAGAAGGAAUUACGGCGGGCCUACUCCAGGGCAACAAAGGGACAACAAGAUUCAGUCCCAACACUCCCUUUACUCCCUAGAUAUUAACAUUCCCCUUGCCAGACAGAUUUAAGUAUCCUAGGAUCAAAGAAUAUGAUGGGACCACUGAUCCAAUCAAUCAUCUGAACAUAUACACGGGCGUCAUGAAUCUUCAAGUGGCACCAGAUCAGGUGAUGUGCAAGGCCUUCUCUCAAACUUUGACGAAUGCUGCUAGGGAUUGGUUCUCAACCUUAGAGUCCAACUCCAUAGCCUCAUUCUCAGAUUUGGUAGACAAGUUCUCCGCUUUCUUCGCAAGCAGCAAACGCAUCAGGAAGACAGCGGCUUCCCUUAUGCAACUUAGACAAGGGCAAAAUGAGAACCUACGUGACUUCAUGACCAGGUUCAACAAGGAAAGACUUCAGAUUCCCGACCUACACAUAACUGCAGCAGUUUCUACCCUCACAUAUGCCAUAAAGUGCGAGGCUUUCAAGAUGUCUUUAUCCAAAACUCCACCAAAGACAGUCACUGAGCUUCUUACCCGAGCCGAGAAGUACAUAAACAUGGAGAAAACACUGAACUCGAGAAAGGUUGGACCUUCUCAUGACAGGGUCGAGCAUAAAAGACAGCAUGACCCGAACCCCCGUGAAGAACAACAUCGAAAAAAACAGAGACAGGAGGUUUCCCCGACGCCGUUCACGUGUUUAAAUACGUCAAAGACCAAUAUAUUGAUGGAGAUCAAGGAUAUGAAGGAACUGAAAUAGCCUUUUAGAAUGAGGUCACCACCCGAAUCCAGGGACAUGAACAAGUACUGUGAGUUCCAUCUGGAUCAUGGGCAUACCACGGAGAACUGUAAGGCCCUACAAUGAGAGAUUGAAGCCCUUAUUAAAAGAGGACUCCUGAGCUCCUACGUCGGUAACGACAAGCGCCCAAGGAAUGAUCGUGGCAAGGAAAAAGACGCUGAGGCAAAAAGGGAUGGUCGACCCACUGCUGGAACCAUCAAUAUCAUCAUUGGAGGUAUUGCCUCGGGAGGAGACUCCAAUAAUGGAAGAAAACAGUAUGCCCGACGAUAUGCCUUGGCCUCUGGGAUGCCUCAUGGAAAGCUGGAGGAUAUCACUUUUGGGACCGGAGACUUAGAAGGCGUAUCACUCCCACAUGAUGACGCCUUGGUAAUCUCAGCGGUUUUGGCCAAUUUUGAAGUAAAGAGGAUCUUGGUUGACAACGGGAGUGCGGCCAAUAUACUUUCACUAGAAGCUUUUGCCAAAAUGGGAAUCUCAUCUCAGCAGCUCAAAGCGGUUAAAACUCCUCUCCAGGGGUUUGGGGGAGGAGUCAUCACUCCAAAGGGUGUCGUCGAGCUCCCUCUAACUUUAGGUUCUGGCCAGAAACAGGUUACGGAGAUGACAUCUUUCCAAGUGGUACGUGUCUCAAUGGCCUAUAACGCCAUUCUGGGAAGACCACUCCUGAACAAAAUUAAAGCCAUUGUGUCUACCUUCCACCUGGCCAUGAAGUUUCCAACAAGUAAUGGCGUUGGGGUCGUCCGUGGAGACCAGACAGCUGCCAGACAAUGCUAUGUUGCCAGCGUUCGGGAAAUAAAUAACGACGUCAUGCAAAUCUCGAGGACGGAUCCCGAGGACGGGCAACAAGUCAAACUUGCCCCUAUCGAAGAAUUGACGGAAAUUGAGCUUGAGCAUGAUAAGAAGGUGACUAUUGGUCNNNNNNNNNNNNNNNNNNNNNNNNNNNNNNNNNNNNNNNNNNNNNNNNNNNNNNNNNNNNNNNNNNNNNNNNNNNNNNNNNNNGCAUGUCCAAAGGAUAGUUAUCCCCUACCGCGGAUUGACAACUUGGUGGAUAGCACUUUUGGACAUAAGCUAUACAGCUUCUUGGAUGCAUUUUCUGGUUAUCAUCAAAUCCUCAUGGCCGAAGAAGAUCAAGAAAAGACAUCAUUCAUGGCCGAUUCCGCCAUAUACUGUUAUAAGGUCAUGCCUUUCGGUUUGAAGAAUGCAGGAGCAACAUACCAAAGACUCAUCAACAAAGUCUUUGCUAACUUGAUUGGAAGGAAUGUAGAGGCAUACGUUGAUGACAUGGUGGUCAAGAGCAAACAGGUGGACCAACAUAUUUCCGAUCUUGAAGAAGUGUUUAACACCUUGCGAAAGUACGGAAUGAAGUUGAACCCCGCAAAAUGUGCAUUUGGCGUGGCCUCGGGCAAGUUCUUGGGCUUCAUGAUCACUCACCGGGGGAUAGAGGCCAACCCUGACAAAAUCCAAGCAUUAGCGUCUAUGGAAUCACCAAGGAACAAGAAAGAGGUACAGAGGUUGAUUGGUAGGAUAGCAGCCUUGAACAGGUUCAUGUCCCGAGCAUCAGACAAGUGCUAUCCCUUCUUCAAAGUCCUCAGAGGAAACCAAGGCUUUGAUUGGAAUGAAGACUGUGAGAAAGCUUUCCAGGAGCUCAAGCAGACAUUGGCAUCCCCACCGAUUCUCACUAGGCCUGAGCCUGGCGACACCUUAUUUUUGUACUUGGCCGUAUCUCAAAACGCUGUCAGCGGGGUCUUGGUGAAAGAGGUUAACAAAGUCCAGCAACCUAUCUACUAUGUAAGCAAGGUCCUACUGGAUGCAGAAACAAGGUAUACUUUGGCGGAACAACUUGCCCUUGCCUUGGUUAUAGCAGCACGGAAACUCCGGCAGUAUUUUCAGUCUCACCCUAUUGUGGUGCUCACUAAUCAACCACUUAGGCAUAUACUUCAGAAGCCGGACGUAUCAGGAAGACUGAUGAAAUGGGCAAUCGAGCUUGGAGAAUUUGACAUAGAAUUGAAACCACGCCCAUCUAUCAAAGCCCAGGCUUUGGCCGACUUCAUUGCAGAACUAACCCCAAGGUCUCCGGGGCCAGGUGAUAGCUCGAGCAUGAGCACUAAUCUGGACACUUGGCAAUUUUUUGUGGAUGGAGCAUCGAACUCCUCGGGAUCGGGCGCAGGGGUCAUCAUCAUCAGCCCUGACAAACAAACAGAGAUCCAAUGCGCUCUCAGAUUCGAGUUUGAAGCAACCAACAACGAGGCCGAGUAUGAGGCCGUCGUUAUUGCUCUUGAACUAGCCCUUUGCCUAGAGCUCGAGUUCGUAAAGGUAUUCAGCGAUUCACAGCUAGUGGUCGGACAGAUUGAAGGAUCAUUUGAAAGGAAGGAGGAGAAAAUGAGUUUGUACUGUAUGAAGGUUCAGGAUCUUCAACGAAAAUUCAAGAGCUGUGAAAUUACAAAAAUUGCUCGAAAGGACAACGGAAAAGAAGACGCAUUAUCCAGGCUUGUGUUCAUGGGGGUAGAUGGCCUUGACAGAACGGUUCACAUUAAAAUCAUCACAGAACCCAGCAUCAGUCAAAUCCUCGACAUCAUGGACAUUGACAACGAACCAUCCUGGAUGGACCCGAUCAUAGAAUUCAUCACAAGCGGAAAUUUACCAAGCGAUGCCAGGUUGGCUAGAAGCAUCAGAGCCCGAGCUCCUAGGUACUGCAUGAUCAGCGGUGUCCUCUUUCGCAGAAGUAUUACUCUUCCAUACCUAAGGUGCCUCAGGCCAUCAGAAUCAUCCCAGGCCCUUGCUGAAGUUCAUGAAGGUGUGUGCGGGAAUCAUCAAGGAGCCAGGGCCUUGGCCUUUAAACUCGUACGAUAUGGAUACUACUGGCCAACCAUGAAAAAAGACGUCUCAGAAUAUGUUAAAAGAUGUGAUAGGUGCCAGAGGUUUGGGAAUGUCAUCCACUCACCAGCCGAAGAUCUCACCAAUAUUAACUGUUCGGCCCCGUUUGAACAAUGGGGAGUUGACAUCCUCGGCCCCUUUCCUGUGGCAAGAGGUCAAUUAAAGUUUGUUGCUGUAGCAGUAGAGUACUUCACAAAAUGGGUAGAGGCCGAACCCCUCGCCACAAUUUCGGAGCCCAAGCUAAGAACCUUCACUUGGAGGUCUAUCAUUUGCAGGUUCGGGAUACCAAAGGUCCUCAUCACUGACAAUGGCAGGCAAUUUGACAACCAACAGUUUAGAAACUUUUGCUCAAACCUUGGGAUUGAUCACCGUCUGACAUCAGUUUCGCAUCCUCAGAGCAAUGGCCUGGCCGAGGUAACAAAUCGAAUCAUAUUGCAAGACCUCCGAACAAGAAUAACCGAUGCAAGGGGUUCUUGGUCCGACGAGCUGCCUUCUAUACUUUGGACGUAUAGAACAACUCAUAGGACAACCACAGGAGAAACCCCUUUUAUGUGAGCCUAUGGCAUUGAAGCAAUGGUCCCAGUGGAAAUUAGACUGCCAAGCCAUAGGAGGCUCGUGCCAGAAACCUCGGAUCACACAACUGAACAUCUUGAUCUCUUGGAAGAAGUACGGGAGCAAGCCGCUAUAAAAGUGGCCUCUUACCAAACUAGGACAGCAAAACAUUUUAACAGCAAAGUCAAGGCUCGGAGGUUCAGAGCUGGCGAUUUAGUCUUGAGGAGGGCCGAAGCAGCAGGCCACCCCCCAAGGAAGCUCGGGCCCAUCUGGGAGGGGCCCUUUGAGGUCAUACGACAGGUUCGCAAAGGAGCAUACAACCUAAGAGACACUUCGGGCAGACCUCUUCCGAGGCCCUGGAAUGCCGACAAUCUAAAAAUAUAUUACAAGUAAAAUUCCCAACGCCUUUUAGGAGAUUUUCUUUUUCUGCAUUUUAUUUCUAGUUUAGCGGGCCUGCGUGCCCAUGCAUGUUUUCCGUUCUCUUUUGUAAUGAACUACGUUCGGGUUGAUCCCGUUUGGGUACGUAGGCAGCUUGGAUACAAUAUAAAUCCAAGUCCAGUCCGAAAAAUUAGUAAAUUCAAGCUUCAGGUAUAACAGCCCUUUAGUAAAAGCCUUGCCCCAGGCAAGCACACAAAAAAGCCUUGCCCCGCGCAAGCCCACAAAAAAGCCUUGCCCCAAGCAAGCACACAAAAAACCCUUGCCCCGCGCAAGCCCACAAAAAAGCCUUGCCCCGAGCAAGCACAAAAAGCCUUGCCCCGCGCAAGCACACAAAAAAGCCUUGCCCCGCGCAAGCACGAAAAGCCUUGCCCCGAGCAAGCACUCAAAAAAGCCUUGCCCCGCGCAAGCACAAAAAGCCUUACCCUAAGCAAGCAGUCAAAAAAGCCUUGCCUCAAGCAAGCACCAAAGCCUUGCCCUGCGCAAGCACAAAAAGCCUUGAUCAUAUACUCAAGCAUAAACCAUUAUAGUAUCGCCCAGGGACAUACAAAAAUCCCACAUCAUUUUUGACACCCUCGAGAAUCUCACAUUACAACUUUUCAAGUUAGAUGUGCUCGAGGUUUACAUUCCUCGAGGAAAGCACAACCCAACUUUUUAAAGUUUAGUUGUGCUCAAGGAUUACAGUCCUCGAGAAUGUCACAUUAUCAAUUUUUGAAUUUAGUUGUGCUCGAGGAUUACAGCCCUCGAGAAUCUCACAUUACAACUUUUUAAGUUAGAUGUGCUCGAGGUUUACAUUCCUCGAAGAAAGCACAACCCAACUUUUUAAAGUUUAGUUGUGCUCGAGGAUUACAGUCCUCGAGAAUGCUAUUCAUUUUUUUAAAAAAAAAUAGUUGUGCUCGAGGACACAAUCCUCGAGAAUGCACAUUACCAUUUUUAAGAUUAAUUGUGCUCGAGGUUUGCAGUCCUCGAGAAUGUCACAUCAUCAUUUUUUAUUUGUGCUCGAGAAUUACAGUCCUCGAGAAUGUCUGUCACUUUUUAAUCCCUUAAAUGCGCUCGAGUUGUGGAAUCCUCGAGUAAACACUUCAAUGUCGCAUGAGCAGUUAGUUUCCAAUUUGUUUGCUCGAACGUAUGGAGUCCAAGGGGUCGAGAUAAAUAGUUCCAAUAAAUUAACUUUAGAACAUACAUAGUCCUUGAUCAAAUUACAUUGUCAAAAUUAAACAAAAAAUUACAAAAGAUCGGGGUGGGGGAAGUCAUCCAAUGUGGCCAAGAGGAGGGUCGAGGCUGCUGAUGUCGAUCUCAACGUCGUCCUCAAGACCAUCCUCAUCAUCUCCCCCCGAUCCUCCUGAAGAACCCGAGAGCUCCAAUGUAUCAUCAAUGGAAGGCACUGUCUUCAGGUCGUCUGGAGUGACGUUGGGCAACUUCUGACGGAGGAAGGCCCGGGCUUCUUUCAGAGCAUGGAAGUACGCCCCCAACGCAUACUCCCCUUUUAUCUUGUCGCAGUUUUCGGAGGUUUUAAACUGCUCCCAGGCCCUCUCCCUGACAGCCGCGAGCUCGCGCCCGAAAUCCUCUGUCUUCUGGAUGAGCUCGAGCCUCGCACCUUCGACCUCAUCCUUCGCUAUAACCAGGUCAUCCCUGGCCUUUGCAGCUUCCCUCCUCGCGUCAUCACGCUCCUUCAAUAAAGCCUCGACCUGUGCCUCGAGGUCUUGAAUCCUGCUGUCCUUAGAGGCCAUGGACGUCUCGACCCCAGCAGCCCUCUUGGCCUCCUCGAGCCCUUGCAGAGAGAGUCCUCGAGCUAUACUCAACAUCUGGAAAAAAUGAAGAAAAUGUCAAGUAUUAAGCUCGACCAAUAAACUCGAGGCUAAAGUCGAAAGUUCGAAGAUUACCUUCACUGUAAGGCCCUCGAGGACUUUCAUCCCGUCCUCGAGCUUGACCUCCUCUUUGUAUUUGUUUACGAGCUCAGGAGCAAGGUGGCAAGUCUCGAAGUCCCCGGUAAGAGACGGGUCAUCCUCAAGGUCGACCACUUCAGAAGGAGGCCGAGGAGUGACGACCCAAGGAGUGGGGAGAUCUGAGGUUUGGUUGCAGAGGGGUCGAGACUUGUGGGUGUGCUCGAGAAGUUUCGCCAGGCCCCCUCACACCCUCAGGAGCCCCUCAAGGCCUCUUCUUGCUUUUCUUCCUAGGGGGCUGCCCCUGUGGAUGAGCGUCUCCCCUUGUGCUGACGAAAUUCCGGAGAGCCCGAGGAUCAAAAGACAUACCUGCAAAUAUUUACAAACAUUUUAGAACGAGCACAAGGUCACGGUAUUUUUCAAAAAAUAAUAAUAAAGGAACAUCCCUACCCUCGACGCCUCUAAUAUCUGCCAGGUCUAUAACCUCUUCCCCAAUCUCCUUCAUCGUCGAGAAAAGGGGGCUGAGCCCGACCAGCAUCCUCCUAUGCUCUUCCAAAACAUUCGAAUACACCUGGCCCUCACAGAACUUCUCGGCGUCAGGGAUUCCCCAAUCAGGCCAGAAAGGAAGAUCGGGUUCUUGGGCUACAACAUAAAACCACCCCUCCCUCCACCCCUUUAAAGAGCUCGCCAUCCUCGGGACUUUAAAGCCCCCAAUCGUCGAGAGAUAUCCAAAACAAGUGUAUCGAGGAUGCUUCUUAAGCUCGAACACUAAUUUGCUGAGGCUAAUGGUGGGCUCGAUACCUAAGUAUCUACAUGCUAUAAAAAAAUAAACGAGUAUCCUCCAAGCGUUGGGCACUAACUGCCCAGGGCACAUGGAGUGCUCGACCAAUAGAGCAAUAAAGAAGGGGUGAAGGGGCCACCUAAACCCAGCCUUAAGGUACGUUUUACAUUGUUCUUUAGCACAUAGCCUCACACAUAUAUUUCCCUUUCUGACUUAAGCAUUGGAGGGGCGACGAGAACACACCUCGUUGCCUUUGUUUCAGGUAUCGGAAGAUCACGUUCGUACUCCUCAUCAGUCAUCAAGCUCGAGAAAUCUACAGGUACGAUUUUUGGUAGCAUCACCAACGUUCAUGAAACCUUAAUGCCAUCCCUAUUUUCGAGCCAUUAGGCUCCAGUACACCUAAGACAAAGGAACUUGUUCCAAAAAUUCUGCCAUGAUAAUGAACCAAAUACUUCAACUGCUAAAAUUUCCAUCCCAAACCCACAUCAAGAACAAGUUUAUGCACAAAAUUAUUUCAGCCUAAGCAAGAAAAAGCUGUAUAGAGGUGUUAGACAAGGGCAUUGUGUCAAAUGGGUUACGAAAAUUAGACUUUCGUAGAACAGAAUGAGAGUUUGGUUGGGAACUUACGACUCCAUCGAGGCUGUCACCUAUGCUUAUGAUUGCACCGCCUAUGGACUCCACAACGAUAAUGCUCACUCGAAUUUUCCUAAUAUAAAGGAUCCAAGUGAAUUGGGAUUUUUGCGAUGGCGCUAGAUCGACAGUUCUGGAGAAUGAUGAAGGUGCCAAAAUUCAAGUAAUUUGCCAAAUGGUAAAGAGAGAAAAAGCUAAAAAGGCAGCCAAAAAAGUGAAAAGUAGAGGAACAUAAAGUUGAUCAUAAUUUGUCUUCACUCGAAAUCGUUUCGCCAAGUAUUUCAAUAAAAAUAUUUUUCGAGUAUUAGUGUUGAUGAGGGUUCUAUUUUCUGAUUUCGUUUUGUGGUGAGGGGAAGAGGAAGGGGAAGGGGGC
rnacentral:lncRNA from 1 species